rnacentral:rRNA from 1 species
CGAGGGGCAGCAUGGUCUUAGCUUGCUAAGGCCGAUGGCGACCGGCGCACGGGUGAGUAACACGUAUCCAACCUGCCGUCUACUCUUGGACAGCCUUCUGAAAGGAAGAUUAAUACAAGAUGGCAUCAUGAGUCCGCAUGUUCACAUGAUUAAAGGUAUUCCGGUAGACGAUGGGGAUGCGUUCCAUUAGAUAGUAGGCGGGGUAACGGCCCACCUAGUCUUCGAUGGAUAGGGGUUCUGAGAGGAAGGUCCCCCACAUUGGAACUGAGACACGGUCCAAACUCCUACGGGAGGCAGCAGUGAGGAAUAUUGGUCAAUGGGCGAGAGCCUGAACCAGCCAAGUAGCGUGAAGGAUGACUGCCCUAUGGGUUGUAAACUUCUUUUAUAAAGGAAUAAAGUCGGGUAUGGAUACCCGUUUGCAUGUACUUUAUGAAUAAGGAUCGGCUAACUCCGUGCCAGCAGCCGCGGUAAUACGGAGGAUCCGAGCGUUAUCCGGAUUUAUUGGGUUUAAAGGGAGCGUAGAUGGAUGUUUAAGUCAGUUGUGAAAGUUUGCGGCUCAACCGUAAAAUUGCAGUUGAUACUGGAUAUCUUGAGUGCAGUUGAGGCAGGCGGAAUUCGUGGUGUAGCGGUGAAAUGCUUAGAUAUCACGAAGAACUCCGAUUGCGAAGGCAGCCUGCUAAGCUGCAACUGACAUUGAG